ACAGCUUUGGCAAAGGAUUCAAUUUCGAACAGCCUCUUCAUGAGAAACUUCUCAAAGAUUUUGGACAAACCGGACAGCAGGCUAAUGGGACGGUAUGAGCGAGCUUCCGAGGGGCAUUUUCCAGGCUUCAAAAUCAUAGAGAUGCCAGCAUGUUUCCAUUUUUUUGGGAAAUGGCCGAUUCGCAGAAUGGAGUUAAAGAUAAGUAUAAUGUAUAAUAGCGCUUUUUGCGGCAACAAUUUAAUUAGUUUGUUGUCUAAUCUAUCUUCUCCAGGUGAUUUGCGCAGGUCAAGUUCGUCAAUUUCCAGUUUCAGUUCAUUCAGCGUAAUUGGUCGUAUAGGAUGGUGUUCAGUGCUUGUGAGUUGGAGCUGUUGCUGUAGUAAUUGCUUCCACCCGUCCCGUAUGUCCGUUCUUUCGCUGUCCGAUGUGUGCAGAAUAGUCUGGAAUCUAUCUUCGAGAUGUUUGGCAAAAACUUCCGCCUUCUCAAGAGUAGUUUUGGACCAAGAGACUCUACUGGCGCCGCUAUUAGGGACUAGACGAUGUGUUUUAAGCGGGUAAUUUGCCUGCGGCUGAAUUUUGAGUUUGUUUUUUCAGCAGCGCUUUUUUAAGAGAGUUUUGUGCGGCUCUGUAUUGUCGUUUUGCCUCCGGAGUGCGUGUUGUCAUCAAUACUCGUUUACAUUGUUGUUUGUAAGCGAGUAGUCGUCUAGUGGGCUCAUCCAGAUCAAUGUCGUGGUCUGAGUUGCUUCGCCUCCAUGGAUGUUGACCGCUUGCGCGAUUGCAGGCUGCAGUAGCCGCUUCUUUAAUAUUUCCCAUGAGGAUAUCAAGAGCAUCUUCAAUGUCAAGACCUGUGUUUAUUUCAGUGUUGAGGUGUAUGUUUCGCUCGAGAGUCGAUUUAAAUACGGUCAAGUUGGCGUUUUUGGGAAGCAAUCGAGGGUUGUUUUGUGUAGAUAAGUAAUUGUUUCCGCUGUCUGCAGAGAGGUCAAUUCUGAGUGAGUAAAUUGCGAAGUCGAUAGCAGAUGGCCUUUUUCUGCUGUCGAAUGGAAAGUGUGUUGCUCCACCUGUGGCUAGGAUGUUGUAAUGGGGGCGCGAGUGGACAGCUUGCACUAUCGAUCUGCCUCUCAGACAUGUGCGAGGGUUGCCCCACCAGGAAUGUUUCGCAUUCCAGUCCCCGCAGAGGAGAAAGUUGCAGAUUGUUCUGUCAGUAAUGCAGUCAAAAUGCUUUAACAGUUUGGUGAAGUGAUCGGGAGACCAUUUAAAUACGGGCGGACAAUAAAUAGGCGCUAUUACAAUGAUGUCUUUUUUAUUAUUGUUCGCAGGUAACAGGGCAAUCGGAGCUGACUGGAAGAACGUUUCAUUGAUUGGCUGGAGUGCUGCGUGUUUGAUGUCCGCACGUACUAGAAUGGCUACGCCACCUUUUCUGUGCGACUGAGGAUUGGUUGCAGAGUACGUUAUGAAUCCUGGCACUUUCAAGAUAUUUGCAUUGG